GGUUCGGAUAAAGACAAACUGCAAAUUUGUACUUUCCCGUUAGGGCCGGACUU
rnacentral:tRNA from 1 species